AACGAACGCUGGCGGCAGGCCUAACACAUGCAAGUCGAGCGCCCCGCCAGGGGAGCGGCGGACGGGUGAGUAACGCGUGGGAACGUACCCUUUGCUACGGAAUAGCCUCGGGAAACUGGGAGUAAUACCGUAUGUGUCCUUCGGGAGAAAGAUUUAUCGGCAAGGGAUCGGCCCGCGUUGGAUUAGGUAGUUGGUGGGGUCAUGGCCUACCAAGCCGACGAUCCAUAGCUGGUUUGAGAGGAUGAUCAGCCACACUGGGACUGAGACACGGCCCAGACUCCUACGGGAGGCAGCAGUGGGGAAUCUUAGACAAUGGGCGCAAGCCUGAUCUAGCCAUGCCGCGUGAGCGAUGAAGGCCUUAGGGUUGUAAAGCUCUUUCAGGGGGGAAGAUAAUGACUGUACCCCCAGAAGAAGCCCCGGCUAACUCCGUG
rnacentral:rRNA from 1 species